rnacentral:piRNA from 1 species
UGUGAGGUUUUCUUAAAGUAUACAAGUGG